rnacentral:rRNA from 1 species
GACGAACGCUGGCGGCGUGCUUAACACAUGCAAGUCGAACGGAAAGGCCCUGCUUUUGUGGGGUGCUCGAGUGGCGAACGGGUGAGUAACACGUGAGUAACCUGCCCUUGACUUUGGGAUAACUUCAGGACACUGGGGCUCAUACCGGAUAGGAGCUCCUGCUGCAUGGUGGGGGUUGGAAAGUUUCGGUGGUUGGGGAUGGACUCGCGGCCUAUCGGCUUGUUGGUGGGGUAGUGGCUUACCAUGGCUUUGAAAGGUGGCCGGCCUGAGAGGGGGACCGGCCACGUUGGGACGGGGAUACGGCCCAGACUCGAACGGGAGGCAGCAGUGGGGAGUAUUGCACAAUGGGCGGAGGCCUAAUGCGGCAACGCCGCGUGCGGGAUGACGGCCAUCGGGUUGUAAACCGCUUUCGCCUGUGACGAGACGUGAGUGACGGUAAUGGGUAAAGAAGCACCGGCUAACUACGUG